UCUGGGCCCAGAUCCCCAUAGGUCAGCGAUGAGGGGGACCGAGCAGGGGCGGCCCUUUAGACGGUCGCAGAGUCCCAGCCACCAGCCCUGCUCACUUUUCUUACCUCUCUGGCUCCGUCGGCAUUUGAGCCCGGGACCGCAGACGAAAUGAUGCGCUUCCUCUUAGAACCCCCGCUAAUCUGAGGACGGGGUCACCCCACAGACGCCAUGGCUCAGCAAGCAGACCAAUGGCCAAGGAGUCUGGCAAGGGGCCCUUGGCAGAUGAGAGUGGAAGCUGUAAAUCACCCUCUAUGCAAUGGCUCAUCAUAAGGGAUAUGGAGCAAAAUUAGAGGAGGCACGAGAAGGAAAGCCGGUGAUGAACAAGGAAAAUGCCUGGUUGAAGCCAGCUUGCAAUUCCAAAGUCAGAAGGUUGCCUGGGAAGCCAUGAAACAAAGCCAAAUCAAGGCAAAGCAGACACAUGGAGAUUUUGAGACUGAGAAGAGGGAAACUGAGGACAUUCAUGUGAGAUGGUUUCAAGUUUCCCUUAGAAGGAGAAGUUAUCUGCAGAAGGUCAGGUUGCUGAGGUGGAUGUUCAAAAACAACAAAGUGUGUAGCUACCAUUGUGAGGAAGACCAUGGAAAAUGGACAAAUCAGAAUGAAAGGCUUUCUGAACAAGAGUAAGUACCCCCACUGAUAUGGCUUGGCGGUGUCCCCAC